CAAUGUACCUGGCAGGGAAAAAACCUUGAUCAGAAAGGAUGUUUUCAUAGGGUGAAGCUCAUCCAUUGCACUCUGUAGGUGCUGACCCCUGCAAUAAAAAGUGGGAAACUCCACUGCAUAAUUUGAC
rnacentral:snRNA from 1 species